ACUGGCAUGCAUUCAACACGCAACGUCCAAAGUGAACCAACGAUUCAGUUACUUUACGCGGCAAUAUCCCAGUUUUAAUCAGACAAUGGCAACGUACACAAUCGCCGUGGUUCUUGCCCUAAUGGCCACUUUAGUGCAAGCUCAGCGACCGUCCUUCGCCGGCACAAGAUCCAUUGGAUUUCCACAAAUAGAGGCCGAUACUCAACUACUAUCAAACAGAUUUGGAGAAGAUGAACCGGUACCUAUUGAAGCUAAAGGGGACAGGGUAUUGAUAAAUACUAUAGAAAAAAUGCCGGUGGAGAGCCGACCUUUUUGGUACAUCAACGCUGUGCAGUACGACUCGCUCAGAAACAAACCUCAGACCUGGCCACUGAAGAGGAACAGCUUCGUUGACAAAUAAAAAACAAAUUUCGAAAAUCAAAUUUAAAAUUUUGUUCAUUUAUUUUAAUUGAGUUAUGUUACAUUGUAUAGUUUCGGUAUUGUGAACUGUGAUAUUUUUAAAUCAGUGUGUAAUUUUAGUUAUAAGAAGGGAAUUGCCUAUUAGUUAGUCCCUUCUAGUCCUGUUGGCAUUUAUUAAAAAUAAAUUAUUUUGUUAAGAAUA